CCGUGCUAGAUGGGGAGGUAGCGGUGCCCUGUAACUCGCAAUCCGCUAUAGCGAGGUUGAAUCCCUGUUCUAGGCCAUGUGGAUGCAAGGUCUGACUUCAGUGAACAGUGUUGACGAUCUUGGUCCGCCGCAAUGGAGGCCUGUGAACCCGGUCAGGUCCGGAAGGAAGCAGCCGUAAGCAUGUUUAUCCAUGUGCCGGCGGAGUGCCAGGUCAGAGCUGGAAUCUGGGGUUCCGCUUGUGUUGCAUCGGUCGAAGGCAGGUGCACGG
rnacentral:SRP_RNA from 1 species